rnacentral:lncRNA from 1 species
AAAUAAACCAGGCUAUGGUGAUCCUUCUUUUAUUAAACAGGAUGAGACUUCAGCACUCAAGUUUGAAAUAAGAGCAACAGGUUUUCCAGAGCCAAAUCCAAGAGUAAUUGAACUAAACAAGGAUGAGAAUGUUGCGCAUGUUCUACUGGAAGGACUACAUCAUCAAAGACCCAAACGUUAUUUCACCAUAGUGAUUAUUUCAAGUAGCUUGCUACUUGGACUUAUUGUACUUCUAUUGAUCUCAUAUGUUAUGUGGAAGGUAAGCAUUUAACAAUUACCAACAUUAGUCUACUAAAAAUGACAUUUUCUCAAAGCCAAUUUGACUUCCAAGUUAUUAGAUUUAAAUAUUUCACUAUUUGAAUGUUAACUUUUUAUGUUGCUCAGUACUGAUCUCACAUUUCUCUUCAACACCAAAGUCUUUCUAGAAAAAUAUGCAUUCUUAAUUUGUUUUGAAAGACAGACGUUCCUUUUAAAAAACCAUUUGGAAAAGAUUGCAAAUUACACGGAAUGUCAAUUUUGGAGAGAAUGUGGUGUGUAUCACUGAGAAUUUCUGCAUUAAAAACAAAAAUGUUUCUUUAACCCAGUAUGUCCCCACUAAUUUUUACUGAUUACCUCUGUUAAACCUUUAUGACUGAUGUUACAAGGGAUGCAGUUUAAGAAAUAUUGGUGUUAACUGCUUAGAUAUUAGAAAUGAGUAUAGUAGAUAAGAGAGUGUUCAUAACUAUACACUAGUGAUUAUGUUAUGCUAUUUUCAGGCUGGCUUCUUUAAAAGACAAUACAAAUCUAUCCUACAAGAAGAAAACAGAAGAGACAGUUGGAGUUAUAUCAACAGUAAAAGCAAUGAUGAUUAAGGACUUCUUUCAAAUUGAGAGAAUGGAAAACAGACUCAGGUUGUAGUAAAGAAAUUUAAAAGACACUGUUUACAAGAAAAAAUGAAUUUUGUUUGGACUUCUUUUACUCAUGAUCUUGUGACAUAUUAUGUCUUCAUGCAAGGGGAAAAUCUCAGCAAUGAUUACUCUUUGAGAUAGAAGAACUGCAAAGGUAAUAAUACAGCCAAAGAUAAUCUCUCAGCUUUUAAAUGGGUAGAGAAACACUAAAGCAUUCAAUUUAUUCAAGAAAAGUAAGCCCUUGAAGAUAUCUUGAAAUGAAAGUAUAACUGAGUUAAAUUAUACUGGAGAAGUCUUAGACUUGAAAUACUACUUACCAUAUGUGCUUGCCUCAGUAAAAUGAACCCCACUGGGUGGGCAGAGGUUCAUUUCAAAUACAUCUUUGAUACUUGUUCAAAAUAUGUUCUUUAAAAAUAUAAUUUUUUAGAGAGCUGUUCCCAAAUUUUCUAACGAGUGGACCAUUAUCACUUUAAAGCCCUUUAUUUAUAAUACAUUUCCUACGGGCUGUGUUCCAACAACCAUUUUUUUUCAGCAGACUAUGAAUAUUAUAGUAUUAUAGGCCAAACUGGCAAACUUCAGACUGAACAUGUACACUGGUUUGAGCUUAGUGAAAUUACUUCUGGAUAAUUAUUUUUUUAUAAUUAUGGAUUUCACCAUCUUUCUUUCUGUAUAUAUACAUGUGUUUUUAUGUAGGUAUAUAUUUACCAUUCUUCCUAUCUAUUCUUCCUAUAACACACCUUUAUCAAGCAUACCCAGGAGUAAUCUUCAAAUCUUUUGUUAUAUUCUGAAACAAAAGAUUGUGAGUGUUGCACUUUACCUGAUACACGCUGAUUUAGAAAAUACAGAAACCAUACCUCACUAAUAACUUUAAAAUCAAAGCUGUGCAAAGACUAGGGGGCCUAUACUUCAUAUGUAUUAUGUACUAUGUAAAAUAUUGACUAUCACACAACUAUUUCCUUGGAUGUAAUUCUUUGUUACCCUUUACAAGUAUAAGUGUUACCUUACAUGGAAACGAAGAAACAAAAUUCAUAAAUUUAAAUUCAUAAAUUUAGCUGAAAGAUACUGAUUCAAUUUGUAUACAGUGAAUAUAAAUGAGACGACAGCAAA